rnacentral:lncRNA from 1 species
UGCCCUUUAUAGUCAAUUUUUAACAAUUUUCAUAAAUUUGUACAUUUUUACAAAAUAUUUUCCACUGAAACUACUAGGCUAAGUUCAUUAUAGAUAGAGAUAAUUGUAAGCAUCAAAAAUGUUUAGUAAAGUAAGAUCUACGAACACAUCACCAUCACCAAAACACAUAGACCAAGGUGAGCGACACAGGCUCUUUAGAGCCUCUAGUUAUAUAUAUAGUUUAGACCUUUGGUUUUCCCGUUUGAAUGGUUUUACACUAGUCAUUUUGGGGGAUCCUUAUAACUUGCUAUUCGGUGUGAGCCAAGGAUUUGUGUUGAAGAGGGUACUUUAACCUAUAAUAGUUUCCUUCUACACACUGUGACUUGGAUGGAGAGAGUUGUCUCAUUGGCACUCAUACCACAUCUUCUUAUAUCUAUAUAUUAUUUCGAUAUGUUUAAUUGGGGUCUGGAGCUGGCAUGUCAGUUACUGCUAGUAGUUCUUUGUUAAUUUAUGAAUCAUAUUCAUUUUGUGUAGUUUCUUUUGUUUACUAUUUUGUCAUCGGACUCGGAUUUCUUUUAAACUGAGUUUUUUCUGUGCAUAUUGUUGUGUGUUUGUUUAUUCUACAUGAGCUAGAUAUAGUUGUAUAGCGGGAGGGUUGAGAUCUCACAAAGCAUGUUUAGCCCCGCCGUAUUUUUGCGCCUGUCCCAAGACAGGAGACUCUGAUCUUUGUUAGUUUUUUAUGUUUUUUUUUUUUAUCUAAGUUAAGUGUGACGUCCAUUUUCACAUAACUAGUAUAUAUUUUUAUUUAGAGACCAGCUGAAGCCCGCCUCUGGUUGCGGGAUUUUCUCGUUGUGUUGAAGACUCAUUGGUGGCCUUCGGCUGUGCUCUUUGGUUAGGCUGUUGUUUCUUUGACACAUUUUUUAUUUCCAUUCUCAAUUUUAUUGAUUGAUCAAUUGAUUGAUCAAUUGAUUGAUUGAUUGAUUGAUUGAUUGAUUGAUCAUUUUACUACAAGCAAAAGUCAUGAUCAUUUGAGAAUCCUUUAUUUGUAUUGUAGUGUUAAUUUCACCAAUGAAACUCUACAUUAAUUUUUGUCUUAAUAUUAAAUUUCUUUGUAAACUCUAAAAUUACCGUCUGAUUAUAAUAAGACACGCAAGAAUAAAAAAAAAUUAUUUGGCCUUCAAUGUCUCAACCUUUUUUAAUGUGAGUAACUUCAUUGUUCAGUUAGAUUUCGAUUUUGAUAUUGUUCUUGCAAGUUUCCAUAAUAGAUUUCCGGUAAUUGUUCUGCAUAAAACCCUAUGGGAAAGCACAUUGACUUAAUUUUCCAAACGUUUAUUGGAACCCAAUGAUUUGGCAAGGUGUUGCAACCUGUAAUGUAAAGAAGUUACAGCCGAUUGCAUUGAGUGUGUAGGCAAAGGUAGCAUAUCCUUGGUUAGCUUGCUUGUAUUAUUAGGUUAGGUAAGCUACCCUCCUUUAAGAGUAGACUAGUUCGAC